ACGGACCGCUUGUACGGAUAUG
rnacentral:miRNA from 1 species